GGGCUUUCUUCUCAGGUACCGUCACUCCGGUAGCAGUUACUCUACCGGACGUUCUUCCCUGGCAACAGAGCUUUACGAUCCGAAAACCUUCAUCACUCACGCGGCGUUGCUCCGUCAGGCUUUCGCCCAUUGCGGAAGAUUCCCUACUGCUGCCUCCCGUAGGAGUCUGGGCCGUGUCUCAGUCCCAGUGUGGCCGUUCACCCUCUCAGGUCGGCUACGCAUCGUCGCCUUGGUAGGCCGUUACCCCACCAACUAGCUAAUGCGCCGCAGGCCCAUCCUCUAGCAGCAGAUUGCUCCGCCUUUCAUCCCUAGCCCAGGUGGGUCAGGGAAUUAUCCGGUAUUAGCUACCGUUUCCGGUAGUUAUCCCAGUCUAGAGGGUAGGUUGCCUACGUGUUACUCACCCGUCCGCCGCUAACCUACUGGAGUGCAAGCACUCCAGUAAAUCCGCUCGACUUGCAUGUAUUAGGCACGCCGCCAGCGUUCGUCCUGAG
rnacentral:rRNA from 1 species